ensembl:lncRNA
ACUUUUGAUUGCUUUAGUUCAGUUUGCUUUUGUGUUAUUUCCCCUUUUUCUGUUUCAUUGUUUGACCAUUGGAUUGCUGGGUAACAUAACUCCUGUUUUGCUGUUUGGUUUGGAUUGGUUUUGUUCCAGUUUUCUUUAUUUAGUUAUGAUUAUUAUUGUAAUAAAAUAAACAGUUAGUAUAUUUAUUUUCUCUGCCUCUUUAGUUCUCGAACCUGUGUCAUUAUUUCUGUAAUAUCAUAGUUUAAUUUUCUUUGUUCUAUAUUUCCUGGGGUGUAAUUCCCCAGGUGGCGUUGUCGGUCCCUCUUUAGUUAUUUCCCCCUCCCCCCGUUCAUAUUAACUUUUACACUGAGCCCCGCCACACUUGUAUGUAUUUUAAUCAAUGUUGACCUUGUACUUGUAUUAUCUUUUAUAUGGAACUUUGAUUCUGGAAUGAAGUAUUCAUUCAUUCAUAUGGACUAAACAACCAGAUGGGUGGUUUUAAAUUUCGUUUCAACAAGAUUGUGCAAGAAAAGCGAAACACCGCUCACCUUGUAAUUCAGCAAAGAGUAAACAUUGAAAUACAAUGGCGCUUUAUGGAACAAACUUAAACUACGUUGGCGACAUUCCAUGCAAAUCGCAGGAAAACAGCGAUACAACAUGGUGGCCUGUCUAGGCAACAACCUUACAUGCAAAUUUCAUUUCCCAGCUUGCAGGGAGUCUCGCCAGCGGCGUAACUGGACGUAGAAGCGCCACUGUGGAUCAUAUAUCUCUAUCAGCAAUCUCCUGCGACCCCGUAUGCAGAAAAGGAGACACCAAGUUGGGGAACCACUGCUGCAGAACCUGUUGAAAUCCUAUUUUGGUCCUCUCUGAUAAAUAGCAGAAUAUUACUUGCAUACUUGUAUUUAUGUAUAUGCAUUAUUACUUGCACUGAUCAUUUUAAAGCAAAUAUUUUACCUUCAAUUAUUCACGACAUCGAUCAACUAUUUGAUCAUAUUCUCCACUUGUAGACAAAGAUUAUUCGUAAAUCUGGUUGCAGUGUCGACACCUGAGUGCAAGAUUUUGUUGGUACUGGGAGAUGAUUUUGGCAUGCGCCAAUACAUUUCUUCCAUUGUAUUGGAUGAAAAUAUUCUGUCAGGGGGGUUGAAUGCUAUCGCAAGGUACUGUCUGCCCCCAAUGUCAUUGGGGCAGAGCCCCCUAAGGUCUGAUCCUAAUCACCCCUUCAUACACAUGGGCUCCAAGGCCUCUGGCUAGCAGAUGAACCACACUCCCUUCAUAGGUCCACACCAGCGCUCUUUGUUCAUCCACACAGAUAACAAACAAUAACGUUCUUGUCACACAGUACUUCCCUUUUCAGUGGUUUUUCAUAUGUACUUGUCUUCUCCACUCCGAUAUCCUCAGAGAACAAUAGAAGACUUAAAAGACACUAAUUCUCUGUGUAUAAAUAAUUGUAUCAAAUGC